rnacentral:rRNA from 1 species
CCUACGAGAGGCAGUAGUGGGGAAUAUUGGGCAAUGGGCGCAAGCCUGACCCAGCAACGCCGCGUGAAGGAAGAAGGCUUUCGGGUUGUAAACUUCUUUUCUGAGGGACGAAGAAAGUGACGGUACCUCAGGAAUAAGCCACGGCUAACUACGUGCCAGCAGCCGCGGUAAUACGGAGGUGGCAAGCGUGAUCCGGAUUUAUUGGGUGUAAAGGGCGUGUAGGCGGGAAAGCAAGUCAGAUGUGAAAACUCAGGGCGCAAUCCUGAGCCAGCAUGUGAAACUGUUUUUCUUGAGUGCUGGAGAGGAAAUCGGAAGUCCGUGUGUAGCGGUGAAAUGCGUAGAUAUGCGGAGGAACACCAGUGGCGAAGGCGGAUUGCUGGACAGUAACGGACGCUGAGGCGCGAAAGCGUGGGGAGCAAACAGGAUUAGAUACCCGGGUAGUC